CUUGAAACAAUAAAAAUCUAAAAAAAAACCCAUAACCUAAAACCCUAAUCCUAAAAGAACUCUAAGCCUAAACCCUAAGUCCUAAACUAAAACCCAAAAUCCUUAACCUAAAACCCUAAGAAACCCUCCCUAAACCUUAAGAAACUCUAAAUCCUAUCAAUCCUAAAACCAUUUAAAACCCAUACAAAACACCACGCUCUAAACACUGAAUCCUAAAAAUCUGUAAACCCUAGACCUAAAAAGCACAAAAACACCCUAACUUCAAAACCCUAAACCCUAAAAAACCCU
rnacentral:lncRNA from 1 species